rnacentral:misc_RNA from 1 species
GAUGAAGAACGCAGCGAAAUGCGAUAAGUAAUGUGAAUUGCAGAAUUCAGUGAAUCAUCGAAUCUUUGAACGCACAUUGCGCCCCUUGGUAUUCCGAGGGGCAUGCCUGUUCGAGCGUCAUUAUAACCCCUCAAGCUCAGCUUGGUGUUGGGGGCUGCUGCACUGGCAGCCCUUAAAAUCAGUGGCGGCGCCAUCUGGCUCUAAGCGUAGUAAUUCUUCUCGCUAUGGAGUCCUGGUGGAUGCUUGCCAUCAACCCCCAAUUUUUCUAUGGUUGACCUCGGAUCAGGUAGGGAUACCCGCUGAACUUAAGCAUAUCAAUAAGCGGAGGA